rnacentral:rRNA from 1 species
UUCUAUGGCCAUACCACCCUGAAUGUGCCCAGUUCCAUCUGAUCAUGAAGCUAAGCAGGGGCAGGCCUGGUUAGUACUUGCUUGAGAGUUAACAGUAUAGAUU